UGUCCGUUGAGCCCUGCUCCUUCGCCCUGGUGGGGCGCUGCGCUGUCAGAGGCCUUGGUG
ensembl:misc_RNA